CAUGGUUGGCCAGGUGCGGGUCAUGUGCCUACAUUUCCAGCCAGAGAGAAGGCGGUUGCCAGGCAACAGCCCUUGGCCACCAGGCUCUGGACCAGGACUUCCUGCAUCAGCAUCAGCAUUAUCAGAGGGGAGCUGGGAACCCGCAGGGCCUGGGGCAGGAAAGACCACGGCCCCCAGAUCUUUGGGAUCCUCUUUACCUAGAAGCGAUGGGGCAGGUGAGGCCACUGACCCAUGGGAGUUGACAGCUGGACUCCACAGGACUCCACACAGAAGAAAACACAGCGAGCGGUCGGGCUCAAGCCUGUAAUCCCAGCACUUUGGGGGGCCGAGGUGGGCAGAUUGCUUGAGCUCAGGAGUUCGAGAUCAGCCUGGGCAACAUGGUGGAACCCCGUCUCUACCAAAAAUACAAAAAUUAACCAGGCA
rnacentral:lncRNA from 10 species